rnacentral:siRNA from 1 species
ACCGCGGAUGGUGUUCUUGAUUG